UGAGGUACCAAGAAACUAGCAAAGGGCCUU
rnacentral:piRNA from 1 species